UACAGAGGGGGCAAGCGUUGUUCGGAAUUACUGGGCGUAAAGGGCGCGUAGGCGGCCUGUUAAGUCGAACGUGAAAUCCCCGGGCUCAACCCGGGAACUGCGUCCGAUACUGGCAGGCUUGAAUUCGGGAGAGGGAUGUGGAAUUCCAGGUGUAGCGGUGAAAUGCGUAGAUAUCAUUUGGAACGCCAAUGGUGAAAACAACUCGCUGGGGAAGUGCUGACGCUGAGACACGAAAGCCAGGGGAGCGAACGGG
rnacentral:rRNA from 1 species